GGCGAACGGGUGAUAAUACAUCGAACGUGCCCAUCGUGGGGGAUAACUACUCGAAAGAUACUAAUACCGCAUACGAUCUGAGGAUGAAAGCGGGGGACCUUCGGGCCUCGCGCGAUUGGAGCGGCCGAUGGCAAUUAUGUUUUGGUGGGAUAAAAGCUUACCACCGACAUCUGUACUGGUCUGAGAGACACCACCCACCUGGGACUGAGACACGGCCCACACUCCUACGGGAGGCAGCGUGGGGAAUUUUGGACAAUGGGCGAAACCUGAUCCACAAUGCCGCGUGCAAGAUAACGCCUUCGGGUUGUAAACUGCUUU
rnacentral:rRNA from 1 species